GACGAACGCUGGCGGCGUGCUUAACACAUGCAAGUCGAACGGUGAAGCGAGUGCUUGCACUCGUGGAUCAGUGGCGAACGGGUGAGUAACACGUGAGUAACCUGCCCAUCACUCUGGGAUAAGCACUGGAAACGGUGUCUAAUACUGGAUACGACCAACCCUUGCAUGGGGUGUUGGUGGAAAGAUUUAUCGGUGAUGGAUGGACUCGCGGCCUAUCAGCUUGUUGGCGGGGUAAUGGCCCACCAAGGCGACGACGGGUAGCCGGCCGGAGAGGGUGACCGGACACACUGGGACUGAGACACGGCCCAGACUCCUACGGGAGGCAGCAGUGGGGAAUAUUGCACAAUGGGCGAAAGCCUGAUGCAGCGACGCCGCGUGAGGGAUGACGGCCUUCGGGUUGUAAACCUCUUUCAGCAGGGAAGAAGCGAAAGUGACGGUACCUGCAGAAGAAGCACCGGCUAACUACGUG
rnacentral:rRNA from 1 species